GAUGAACGCUAGCGGCAGGCUUAAUACAUGCAAGUCGAGGGGCAGCACGGUUAGCAAUAACUGGUGGCGACCGGCGCACGGGUGCGUAACACGUAUACAAUCUACCUUAAACAGGGGGAUAGCCUUUCGAAAGAGAGAUUAAUACCCCGUAAUAAAUUGAACGGCAUCGUUUGAUUUUGAAAGCUCCGGCGGUUUGAGAUGAGUAUGCGUCUGAUUAGCUAGUUGGUGAGGUAACGGCUCACCAAGGCGACGAUCAGUAGGGGAUCUGAGAGGACUAACCCCCACACUGGUACUGAGACACGGACCAGACUCCUACGGGAGGCAGCAGUAAGGAAUAUUGGACAAUGGGGGCAACCCUGAUCCAGCCAUGCCGCGUGUGUGAAGAAGGCCUUAGGGUUGUAAAGCACUUUCAGUGGGGGAGAAAGGUUAUUCAGUUAAUACCUGAGUAAAUUGAUGCUACCCACAGAAGAAGCACCGGCUAACUCCGUGCCAGCAGCCGCGGUAAU
rnacentral:rRNA from 1 species